rnacentral:rRNA from 1 species
GACGAACGCUGGCGGCGUGCCUAAUACAUGCAAGUUGAGCGCUGAAGGUUGGUACUUGUACCAACUGGAUGAGCAGCGAACGGGUGAGUAACGCGUGGGGAAUCUGCCUUUGAGCGGGGGACAACAUUUGGAAACGAAUGCUAAUACCGCAUAAAAACUUUAAACACAAGUUUUAAGUUUGAAAGAUGCAAUUGCAUCACUCAAAGAUGAUCCCGCGUUGUAUUAGCUAGUUGGUGAGGUAAAGGCUCACCAAGGCGAUGAUACAUAGCCGACCUGAGAGGGUGCUCGGCCACAUUGGGACUGAGACACGGCCCAAACUCCUACGGGAGGCAGCAGUAGGGAAUCUUCGGCAAUGGACGAAAGUCUGGCCGAGCAACGCCGCGUGAGUGAAGAAGGUUUUCGGAUCGUAAAACUCUGUUGGUAGAGAAGAACGUUGGUGAGAGUGGAAAGCCCAUCAAGUGACGGUAACUACCCAGAAAGGGACGGCUAACUACGUG